GACGAACGCUGGCGGCGUGCCUAAUACAUGCAAGUCGAACGAGAGCGACCGGUGCUUGCACUGGUCAAUCUAGUGGCGAACGGGUGAGUAACACGUGGGUAACCUGCCCAUCAGAGGGGGAUAACAUCCGGAAACGGAUGCUAAAACCGCAUAGGUCUUCGAGCCGCAUGGCUUGAAGGGGAAAAGAGGCGCAAGCGUCUGCUGAUGGAGGGACCCGCGGUGCAUUAGGUAGUUGGUGAGGGAACGGCUCACCAAGGCCGUGAUGCAUAGCCGACCUGAGGGGGUGAUCGGCCACAUUGGGAGUGAGACAGGGCCCAAACUCCUACGGGAGGCAGCAGUAGGGAAUCUUCCGCAAUGGACGCAAGUCUGACGGAGCAACGCCGCGUGAGUGAAGAAGGUUUUCGGAUCGUAAAACUCUGUUGUUAGAGAAGAACAAGUGCUAGAGUAACUGUUAGCGCCUUGACGGUAUCUAACCAGAAAGCCACGGCUAACUACGUG
rnacentral:rRNA from 1 species